AGUUUCAGCCAUGUGGAGACAUAGAAAGGUUCAACUGUGGAGUGUUGGAGUCAUUUCUAUUAUUGAAGGUCAACUUUAAAGUACAUUUGUUAUGAUCAAGUGCCUGUUGGAUGAUGGUUUGUGGAUGGAAAAAAGUGCAAUGCAGACUAAAAAAGACCUUUCCAGUAGUUGAUAUCUGCAUGAAGAUGGGACAUGCUUUGCUUCUUGAGCUGCUGUUGUUCUUUUCAGUCUUCCACAAUGGAAUCCCUCAAGAGGCUGUACUGACCUUAGAGCCCAACGUUUUGACUUUUUUUGAUGGAGAAUCUGUGACCUUCAUAUGUGACAUGAAUGAAGGAAAAAACUCUGCCUGGAAGUACAGAAUUGACAAGAAUGGUCAACAACAUAUUCCCUAUAAUUCACACCAAAGCUACAGUAUAGAUGUUCUACAUACAUAUGACAGUGGUAAUUAUCGAUGCUGUGGUCGACAGCAGCUUUUAUAUAAAUGCAGUAACACUGUCUUCAUAACUGUAUCAGCACAACGACUUGCAGCCAGAGUGACAUCAGGUCCAACCACCAUACCAGUAGGAGGUCAUGUGACUCUGAGCUGCUCCGUGGAGAGUUCUGCUGACUGGAGAUACCAGUGGUUCAGACAGAUCUCAGACUCUAAUGAAGCUGAUGUUACACCAAAUAAUAAUGAAGAAAACCGAGUUAUCAAUGUAACACGAGGAGGAAUUUAUCGGUGUAGAGGACAGAGAGGAAAUCCAGUAUUCUACACUGAUUUUAGUUAUGAGAUCAGGAUCCAUGUAACCUUUUCCAACAAACCUGUUGUGUCACGAGAACCAGCGUGGCCUCAGCUUUUCAGUGGUGAGAAGAUCAGUCUGACAUGUGUGGUUUAUGGAGGAAAAACCAUCAAGUGGACGUGUGAAUGGAAAAGACAUAAAUCAGUUCUACACCAGACCAACGGGAAACAGUGGAGCUUCACUGUCUCUGAGCUCAGCAGUGGAGACUACAGGUGUCUGUGUAGACGCAGAGAUGACUUGUAUUCUUCUACAAAGUGGAGUGAAACCAUCACAUUGUCAGUUUUACGUGAGUAUUUUUUUCUAUGUGUUAUGGAAAUUUCAUAUUUCAUUGCUUUAAUCAUGUUAACAAAUGUCCUGAAGCAUUCUCACACUCAGACACACCCACACACUGUUCUUCACACACACACACACACACACACACACACACACACACACACACACACACACACACACACACACACACACACACACACACACACACACACACACACACACACACACACACACACACACACACACACACAUUCUUGUCUCACUCAUACACACACUGUCUCUCUCCCUCACACAAUGACCUCACUCCCAUUCUUAUCUUUCUGUUUAAAUAAAGUCCGUGACCAGAUGUUCGGGGCAUUUUGCCUCGUGCAUAUGCCACAGUUAGAGUCCAAGCUGGUUAUGGAGAUGGUGGGUUGUGGAGCGAAGCCUGGAGCAGAGCAGGGAAGAAGCCUAAAUGAGUGACUUUCUGUUUUAAUAGGACACGUUCCAGCCGUGUCUCUCUCGGUGAGUCCUGACAGGGCUCAACACUUCGUUUCUGAGUCUGUCGCGCUGAGCUGUGAAGGAACGUCUGCUGAGUGGAGAGUGAUGAUGGCUACUGAAGGAGGAGUCCUGGUUGAACUCUGUGGCUGGAAAAAAACGAAGAGCUCACCGUGUACCAGUAACAUUACCUGGCUUCAUAGCAGAAAGCACUGGUGUGAGACUGGAUCUGGAGAUUUCAGCGAUGCUGUCAACAUCACUGGACAGCCUGAUCCUGAUGGUUUGAUCCUUGAGAGUCCGCUCCAUCCUGUGUCUGAGGGAGAUCCUGUUACUCUGAGCUGCAGACUGAGAGAACAAAAACUGCAUUCUGAUGUGUUUUUCUAUCACAACAACAAACGUCUCCAACAAGACAGCAGAGGGGAGCUGAAGAUCUCUGCUGUGUCAAAGUCAGACGAAGGUUUCUACAAGUGUGAGCAUUCAGGAGAGGAGUCACCAGAGAGCUGGAUGUCAGUCAGAGUAUCUGAGUCCUGUCCUGUCAGUUCUCCAUCUGCUGUUCUGUUGGUGGUUGGACCAGUUGUUGGACUCAUCCUCAUUAUUCUCCUGCUCUUGUUGUGGCGCUGCAGACACUCUAAAGAUUUGUGCUGCAGAUUGAUUCAGACAGAGAGCAGCAGUCAGAGCUCUGACACAAACCAUGGAGCCGACCAGACUGAAAGUCACACCUACAGCUCUCCGCUACACGGUAACUCUUCUCUCUAUGACUCAAUCCAACCACGUAAGGCCUCUGAAAAUGUGAGGUGUCCUGAAACAGAGGAGGGGGCUGUUUAUGUUAAUGUCCAAAAAGGAAGUGCAGACUUCAUGCCAACACAGGCUGAGAUCUACAUCAGAGAAAAAACAAGAAGAAAUGAGAGAGGAGUCCUGCAGCAUCAGAGGCAGCAGUUCAUUCUGAGAUGA